UACGUAGGGGGCAAGCGUUACUCGGAUUCACUGGGCGUAAAGCGCGUGUAGGCGGCUGGUCAAGCGUGGUGUGAAAUCCCCGGGCUCAACCUGGGAACUGCAUUUGUGACUGCAAGGCUAGAGUACGGUAGAGGGGGAUGGAAUUCCGCGUGUAGCAGUGAAAUGCGUAGAUAUGCGGAGGAACACCGAUGGCGAAGGCAAUCCCCUGGACCUGUACUGACGCUCAUGCACGAAAGCGUGGGGAGCAAACAGG
rnacentral:rRNA from 1 species